GGGGCUGUAUUGGUUUCGACAUUUUAAAUUACACUAAUUGCUAAGCAGACUUAAGUCUUAGAAUAUAAAGUAAUUGCAAAUAAUAUUAUUAAUUUUAAAAAAAACCAAGUGUUUGCAUAAAACUCUUGAAUUUUCACAUUAAUCAAUUUUUUAGUUGUUGAUUAAAGUAGGCAAAAGAUUUUUUUCCGCUAAAAUUUAAAAAAGUUUAGUUUUGGUCAUAUUAGUAGCUAUAUAAUAUAAAAUUUCUAUAGUGUCAAUAAUAAACGUAAACGGAUCUACCCUCUUGUUAUUAAUAAAUUUAUUAAUAACUAAAUCUGUGAGUUAAGUAGUUAGUUUAAUAAUUUUUUAAAUGGACGUGGGUUCAAAUCCCACCAGCUCCU
rnacentral:tmRNA from 1 species